rnacentral:rRNA from 1 species
ACACACCUACGGGACGCAGCAGUGAGGAAUAUUGGUCAAUGGGCUUACGCCUGAACCAGCCACGUCGCGUGAGGGAAGACUGCCCUAUGGGUUGUAAACCUCUUUUGUCAGGGAGCAACGCCGGCUACGUGUAGCCGGACUGAGAGUACCUGAAGAAAAAGCAUCGGCUAACUCCGUGCCAGCAGCCGCGGUAAUACGGAGGAUGCGAGCGUUAUCCGGAUUUAUUGGGUUUAAAGGGUGCGCAGGCGGACGGUCAAGUCAGCGGUAAAAAUGCGGGGCUCCACGCCGUACAGCCGUUGAAACUG